AAGAAUUCGGCAAAAAUUUUAUUCAUCUGUUUAACAAAAACAUAGUCUCUUGAUUUUUAUAUAUGAGAUAAUGCCUGCCCAGUGAAGUUUAAACGGCCGCGGUAUCCUGACCGUGCAAAGGUAGCAUAAUAAUUUGUCUUGUAAUUUAAGACUGGAAUGAAUGGCUUAAUGAAAUAAUCCCUUUUUUAUAUAAUUAAAUUUAAAUACAAUUUUAAGUUAAAAUGCUUAAAUUAUUUAAAAAGACAAGAAGACCCUAUAGAUCUUUAUUUUUAGAAAUUAAGAAAAAAUUAACUGGGGCGGUUAGAAAAUAUAAAAAACUUUUCUUCUAUAAAGGUUUUUGUACCUUACGAUCCUUUAGGAAUAAGAAAGAGUUACCUUAGGGAUAACAGACUAAUUUUAUUUUAGAGUUCAUAUCGAAAAUAAAGAUUGGCACCUCGAUGUUGGCUUAGAAUAUUUAUACCUUGAAGAAGGGGUAAAAAAUGGUUUGUUCAACCAUUAAAUUUCUACAUGAGCUGAGUUCAGACCGGCGUGAGCCAGGUUAGAUUCUAUCUUUUUUUUAUUUUUCAUAGUACGAAAGGACCUGGAAAA
rnacentral:rRNA from 1 species